AUUGAACGCUGGCGGCAGGCCUAACACAUGCAAGUCGAGCGAGCGGCGGUCGGGUGAGUAAUGUCUGGGAAACUGCCUGAUGGAGGGGGAUAACUACUGGAAACGGUAGCUAAUACCGCAUACCAUCAGAUGUGCCCAUAUGGGUUUAGCUAGUAGGUGGGGUAAUGGCUCACCUAGGCGACGAUCCCUAGCUGGUCUGAGAGGAUGACCAGCCACACUGGGACUGGGACACGGUCCAGACUCCUAGGGGAGGCAGCAGUGGGGAAUGUUGCACAAUGGGCGCACGCCUGAGCCAGCCAUGCCGCGGGUGUGAAGAAGGCCUUCGGGUUGUAAAGCACUUUCAGCGGGGAGGCGUUACCCGCAGAAGAAGCACCGGCUAACUCCGUGCCAGCAGCCGCGGUAAUAC
rnacentral:rRNA from 1 species